rnacentral:rRNA from 1 species
UACGGAGGGAGCUAGCGUUGUUCGGAAUUACUGGGCGUAAAGCGUGCGCAGGCGGCUUCUCAAGUCAGGGGUGAAAGCCCAGAGCUCAACUCUGGAAUUGCCUUUGAGACUGAGAGGCUUGAGUACGGGAGAGGUGAGUGGAAUUCCCAGUGUAGAGGUGAAAUUCGUAGAUAUUGGGAAGAACACCAGUGGCGAAGGCGGCUCACUGGACCGUAACUGACGCUCAUGCACGACAGCGUGGGGAUCAAACAGG